rnacentral:rRNA from 1 species
AUUGAACGCUGGCGGCAUGCCUUACACACGCAAGUCGAACGGUAACAGGUCUUCGGAUGCUGACGAGUGGCGAACGGGUGAGUAAUGCAUCGGAACGUGCCCAGUAGUGGGGGAUAGCCCGGCGAAAGCCGGAUUAAUACCACAUACGACCUGAGGUUGAAAGGGGGGGAUCGCAAGACCUCUCGCUAUUGGAGCGGCCGAUGUCAGAUUAGCUAGUUGGUGGGGUAAAGGCCUACCAAGGCAACGAUCUGUAGUUGGUCUGAGAGGACGACCAGCCACACUGGGACUGAGACACGGCCCAGACUCCUACGGGAGGCAGCAGUGGGGAAUUUUGGACAAUGGGCGCAAGCCUGAUCCAGCAAUGCCGCGUGCAGGAAGAAGGCCUUCGGGUUGUAAACUGCUUUUGUCAGGGAAGAAAUCUUCUGGGUUAAUACCUCGGGAGGAUGACGGUACCUGGAGAAUAAGCACCGGCUAACUACGUGCCAGCAGCCGCCGUAA